rnacentral:lncRNA from 1 species
UGCGUCGUUUUUCGGGGGUCGUUUUCUCGAUGAUGGCUGGGCGUUGGCCUCUGAUAUUUUGCUGUGUUUUACUACUAAUCAAGAGCUGUUGCAGAAAUAAGUUUCGUUCCAAUCCGUUUUUCGGCCCUUGCACCCUCUCCUUGUAAGUUUAUCUGGCAGUGUACAUAAGAAAAAGGUCUGGAAGUAUAACCCUUGUAUUUCUUCUCUAUUCAGAAAUCCUCAUUCUCUAAUGAGACAAUAUAUAGUCGUGCUUUUUGCAUUCAGAUAUUGGGUUAUUAUCAUUUCUGAUGAUGAUAAAUAAUGUAUUUCUCCUGUUAAAGGCUAUGUUAAUCUUUGUUUUCUUCUGUAUGUUUUUUUAAAUAUAUUAAUAAUGAUGUUAUGUUUUUUCUGUAAUAUUUUUUCCUCUGUUGUUGGUCAUUCAUCAUAUAUUUAAACUUUGUCUGUCUGUUUAUCUGUCUGUUUUUUUAAUCUCAUAAUAGUCCUUGAUGAAAAAUCUUUCUUUCCACCUGUUCCAAUAUCCUUUAUCUAAAUGUUUUACUGAAAACGUUUGUAAAAAUAAACAAUCCUCUCUUUUGUUUUUAAGCUGCCGGUAGAGCUGUUUUUAUGGUUAUUGAUGUCUUAAAUGAAACAUUAAGCAGUUUGGAUAGAAAGAAUGGAUCCAUUAUACUUUUUAUUUAGUCUGUUGAUCAUUACGCUAUAUAUUUGUACUCUUUCAGAAUGGUUCUAAAAGCAGUUAAUUUGUAUUGUCUGGGGCUCUUCUUAGGAGUUAUCAAUGAAUAAUAAAAUAUAAGUUUCUAUCCUAUAUACUUCUGUCUUAUAUUCCUCUUAUAUGAUUUUAUUGAAAACAUUCAGUAUCCUUUGUCAGUUUUCACUGUUAACAUCAAACCUAAACUCCUCUUAUUCAAUUUUCUUUUUCGAUAUAAGCCACUCAAGGCAAUCUGGAAGAAACAACUUUUGGCAUGAUAUGCUGUCAUUGGCAUGGAAUGACACUGAAUUUUUAAAUUGCAAUCUGGUCCUACCUAUUUGUGUUUUUGUGUUUUUUUAGUAUUUUCAAAGAAGGAACAUAAGUACUCUCUGAUAACAGUUCCUUUUUUACUUUUUAUCCAAAAAUUUUUAAUUUUACACUGUUUUUCAAAAAAUUUUUUAAAUGAAUCUUUUUAAUAAAUUAAAUUAGUAACUGUAGUAAAAAAUUGACAUUCCUGACAAAAUGGCAUAUAAAUGGUCUAAUUUCCGAUAUCCACAUAUAGACUGAAUCUAUCAACUUGUCAUAAAAGAUAAGAGAGUGAAAAAUAGAUGUUUAUGUUAUGCUAUAGCAAACAUGAGGUAUACUUUGUUUUAAUUGAAAGAUGACAUUGCAAAAUAUCAUCUCAUGUAGUAGUCAACAAAUUAAUAGAUACAGUAUAGGCUAGAAGCCUUAAAGUCUUUAAACUUAGAAGUAUACUAAGAAAUUUAAGUGAUAAUUAAGCAAAUAACUACCAAAGAGGAAAUGACUUAAAAUAGAGACAUAUAUGGCGAUAGAAGUUAUAUUAGUUGUUGAUAAGCAGUAUGUUGCAGGAAAUGACAAUACAGAUGAAACCUGUCCUUCAGUAUUGUAUUAAACAAUAAAUUAAUACAAUGAUACUAACAUAUUGAAACAGAAUAUUUACAGUGGAAAACUGAUAUAAUCUUGAGUAAAGAAACUAAAUGUGAACUAAUAAUUGAGUAGAUUGAUGUAAUGGAAAGUACUGAAUUGGCUCAAUGAAAAUAAUCUUACUUGUAUUAGAGACAAUAUAUUUAGAGCCAUGGUAAUUAUCAAAAAGUGAGAUAUAUAGGAAUUCUAUGGCAGCAUGUAAUAGAAAUGGACUGUGAAUGUAUACAGAAUUAUCCCAUGGAAAAAUUACAUGGGGCUAUCAGAAAUUGUUAAAAACCAAGGUAAUAUUGAAAUUUCUAAAAAAAUGGUUUGUUAUAGUACCAGCCUGUCUCAAGAUUAUUUGAUUCAUCCAUAGCUCCAUAAAAACCCCAUUAUUAAUAUGAUCAUUAGUAACAAAAUUCACCAAUCAUACUGCUUGAAAAAAUUAGCAAAAUGGUGUGCAGAUAAAAUGAAACCCAAUAAAUAAGAAAUAAGUCAUCACUGGAAUUUGUGGAUACAUUAUUUGAGUUAAGUUUAUUUAUGGAUGAACAUGUAUGAUAUUGUAAUCAUUAUCAUUCAUCAAUAUCAAUAUCAUAAAAAAUGAUUUUAUUUCUCUUUUAAACAUUACAGUGCUUAGUAGUAGUAGUAGUAGAGAGGGAGGGGCCUACGCAGCCCAAGCACUGCGACCAAUACAGGUCUAUUGUGCACUCCCAGCCAAAUCAUCCCAGAAAAAGACCUGUCCUCAGAACAAAAGACAGAAUACUCCUUAAUGGGACAGUAGCGAGAUCAUCU